GGAUGAAAUUAGUAUUGAUUUUAGCAAUAUAACCAAGUGUACUCGAGUGAAUUCGGUUUGUUUGCAGAUAGUAAACGUUGGGGUAUAACGUUUCAUUGGAAUAAACGUAUUACAUUACCGCAAUAUAUGUACUUUAGGUAAUACGCACAAAUAACAAUUUUAUAAAUCUUAUAAAUAAACAAUAUUAAAUCGCAACCGUGUAUUUUAAGAGUGAGCGUUUAUGAAGCGAAACAUAAACUGAUUUAAUGGACGUUGUUGUUAUGGUUGUAAAUCAUCGAAAGGAUAUACCAGCUGUUAUGUAGGAGCAAAUGUAGUUCAAAAGAAUGAAUAAGAUUUGAGAAGAAGUGGGUCUAAAGUAAAAAAUUCCUAACGAUUUCGAAGAGAGAGUAGGAUUUGAGCGUACACUUUCUAUUAUUCGCAUUCCCGGUUCGUUGUUAUUCCGGCCGGAAGAAGAAAACAAAAAGGAUGUAUUCGAUGGCAUUCUGCAUUGUUUUUCUGGACGGCUACGCGUUUAAUUCUGCAGGGAUUAUUCUAUAGCCUUUCAUAUUAUUCCCUGAUUUAUUGUUUAAAGCAAUUCUUAUUAAGUUUAUUCAAGUGUCACCUUUAGCAGCUGCACCAUAUCUUAAAUAUCUCAAUAUUAAUGAUUUCUUCUUCCGCAUACUUCUGACAAAGUUUUUUAUUGUUUUGAGUCUAAUUUUUGUUGUAUUUCCAUGUCUGAUUAUCAUUAAAACUUGUUAUAGCUUCAUCGGCAAAAAGAGUUAAUCUUAUCAACUUAAAAGUCCAUAUUUGAGGUUUCAGAAACCUUCCAAGUUUCAAGAUCAUCUUCUUCACGUAAAUAAAACUGUUAAAAUCGAGCAUAAAAAGUCCCUUAGGAAUUUUAUAGUUCCCAGUUUUAUGGUUACAGGUCAUAUUCUCGCGUGGAACCUGUUUAGGACAUAUCCGAUUACCGAACGUCUAUCUGGAGGUGAGAAAUCGGACCUUAGUUACAGUUUUACAGUCACUGUCGCUUUUCAAAUCCUACCGCCUCGCACUGUCGGCUCCUGCACAAGGCAAUCCGCUCCGUUAAUAGUUUUAUUUUGUACAUAAGCCAUAAAUUUUCAACUCCCGACUGCCACAUCGACUUAAUUUAUUUCUUCUUACGCCACAAGGCGUUAAUUUGAUUGUUUGAAUUUGGUAAAGGAACAGUCGAACUCGAGGAAUGUUCUUUAAGGUAUCUGACCUGUGGUUUUGGGAAUAGUCUUUGAUGCCGAAGAUUAAGGAGGCGCCACGCAAUAUCCAGGUUAAUUCGCUGUAAGAAGCCGGCAGAAUCGGAACAGUCCGUCGUGUUGGCCGCGUACACACUCUCAAAGACACUAUUACACAGCACCAAAUGGUCGAGAAACACACGACCGGCGGUUGUUGCAAGUAAUAGGGAAACGAUCACCGAUUCUGGAAAGAUUCUAAACCUCCUGGAGGAACAACUUCGCGCCGUACACUGAGGCACUCCGCGACGAAGAACUCAAAGAAGAAGAAUUCGAGCACUUGUCGUCUCGCGUUGAAGAAAACCGUUGGCUCAACCGACGCGGCUUUCAAAACUCACUUCGAAGUAAGGUAGAACAGCAACCUGCAAGAGUUGGUCGUGUGUGUGUGAGCCAGGUGGUAUGGUGGGGAAGUACACGCUCGAUGGAGCGACCGGUGUGGUUCUUUCCUUCUUCAACAUCAGGUAACCGCUCCGUCGACAUUUCCUUCUCUUUUUCUCCAUGCCCGAAAGAGAAGGACACCCACACCACAAACGACCAGCGCUAGCGCAAACUUACGCGCACAGAAACCGACUAUUUUUAAGCCAACAGUCGUGACUGAGCCGUAGACUCAAAUGCGCUUGCGCAGAUGCUGCCGGCGUUUUUGGCGGGAACUCUUGCGUCGGAUGCAUCUGAGAGCAAUUACCUUUCGACCAGCACAAGGACGCACCCUACCAUCCAGGUGGUUAAUAAAAAAACCCUAAAGCUAAAGAAGGAAGAAUAAUCACAAAGAGUGUCUAGACACCAAAUGUUUAAAGUCAUCUUUAGUACUGAUCAAAACAUGGAAAUAUUGUAUAUUUAAAGAGACUAAUGUAUGUAAAUGAUCUAGGCAUAAGUACACUAUAAUAAUAAAGCAUUUUUUGAUGAA